rnacentral:rRNA from 1 species
GAAUUUUUAAACUAACGCAGAUAGUGGAUGCCUUGGCUUGUUUGGCCGAAGAAGGACGUUAACUCCACGAAAGUCGUCGGGGAGCCGAGUAAAGGCGCUUGAUCCGGCGGUGUCCGAAUAGGGUAACCUCGUCCCGCGAAAGCGGGAUGGCCCCGCCUUUGGCGGGGGGGCAACUCGGGGAACUGAAAUAUCUAAGUACCCGGAGGAAAAGAAAUCGAAUGAGAUUCCCUUAGUAAGCGACGAGCGAACAGGGAACAGCCUAAACCAGAAUUUAUUCUGGGGUUGCAGGACCUCAAUAUUGGACUGAGUCAAUUUAGCAGAGCACCAUGGAAUUGGUGGCCAGAGAGCGUGAAAGCCGUGUAUGCGAAAAAUUGACUCUACCAUAGAGUGUUCCUAAGUAGGUUGGGAGACGGCAAACUCCCUUCUGAAUCUGGGGUGACCACACUCCAAGGCUAAAUACCAAACAAGACCGAUAGUGAACGAGUACCGUGAGGGAAAGGUGAAAAGAAGGGUGGAAGACCCAAUGAAAUAGAUCCUGAAACUAUCUGCUAACAAUCAGAGAAAGUCCCGAUUUAUCGUGGAUAAUCUCGUGCCUAUUGAAGAAUGAGCCGGCGAGUUAUUGUGUGUUGCAGGUUAAUCCCUUCCGGGGAGAAGCCAAAGUGAAAGCGAGCCUGAAUAGGGCGAACAAAUGUAGCACAUGAUUGACCCGAAACCGGGUGAGCUAACCAUGACCAGGGUGAAGUUCCGAUAAAACGGAAUGAAAGCCCGAACCGGUGUAUGUUGCAAGAUGCUCGGAUGAGUUGUGGUUAGAGGUAAUAUGCCAAUCGAACCCGGAGAUAGCUGGUUCUCCCUGAAAUAUAUUUAGGUAUAGGGUCAGGCUAAGUUGGAGGGGGGUAGAGCACUGAUCGGGUGUUUGGGACGCAAGUUUCGACACCUAGUCAAACUCCGAAUACCCUUCAAUGUUCCCUGGCACUCAGCAUCUGGGAGCUAAGUUCCAGAAGCAAAAGGAAAACAAACCAGACUUACAGCUAAGGUCUCAAAUAUUCAUUUAGUGGAAAAGGAAGUGUCAUUCCUAAGACACCUAGGAGGUCGGCUCAGAAGCAGCCAUCCUUUAAAGAAAGCGUAACAGCUCACUAGCCGUAGGAAUAAUGCGCCGAAAAUGUAACGAGGCUCAAAUGAAUAACCGAAGCUUGAGGUUGUCAUUCUCGAUUUAUCGAGAGUGGCAGCGGUAAGGGAGCGUUCUGUGUGCAGUGAAGGUGGCCCGUAAGGAGCUACUGGAGCGAUCAGAAGUGAGAAUGCCGGCAUGAGUAACGCAAUUGGGGUGAGAAUCCCCGACUCCGUAUGACCAAGGUUUCCGCACCCACGUUCGUCGUGUGCGGGUUAGGCGACCCUAAGGUGAGCCCUGCGUAGUGCAGGGGUAGCCGAUGGAUUACCGGUUAAUAUUCCGGUCCUUGGUACAUUUCGUUUGACUUGGGGAGGAACGGUGUUGGAUAACUAAAGAGGCGGUGUGAAUCUGCCUUCGAAGCACUAAAGCAGUUGUAGUUGGCAAAUCCGCCACAGCGUUUAUCUGAAGUGUGAUAGGACUUUUAACCCUUCGGGGAAGAGAGUUUUUGGCGAUUUCAACAUCCUAGAAAAGCUUCGCAGGAAGAAAUGUAUCAAAUCGUACCGAGAACCGACACAGGUGGUUAGGUCGAGUAGACCAAGGAGCGCGAGAGAAAGUAGUUUAAGGAAUUCGGCAAAACAGCUGGGCGUAAUUUCGAGAGAUGCCCUCCCUACCAAGGCGCAAGUUGAGGUAGGGCACAGCUAAAGAGGUGGGAUGGACUGUUUACCAAAAACACAGGUCUGUGCAAACUCGUAAGAGGCAGUAUACAGGCUGAAGCCUGACCGGUGCCAGAAGGUUAACUGAGUGGGUUGAUUCCGAUUUAUCGGGAUUGGCUUGCAAACGAAGCCCUGGUGAACGUCAGCAAUAACUAUAAUUGUUCUAAGGUAGAAUAAUCGCUGCUUUAGUAAAACUUGGCUAUAUGCUGGAAUAUCUGAGAAUCUUGAGCUAGUUGAGUUUGGGUAGUAUUCGGGUUAUAGUGGUAGUAAUGCCACUCGACUCGAUUAUUCCAAAUUCAACUGAAAAUGCUACAAGUGCAGACAAUCAGCAGGGAAGUCAGUUUCAAAAGGGUUGGAUUGUCGGUUUUGUAGAUGGAGAAGGAUGCUUUUCAAUUAGCAUCUUCAAGAAUAAAACAAGCAAAUUUGGUUGGCAGAUAAUGCCAGAAUUUGUUGUUACACAGGGAGCAAAAAGUUUGGAUUCACUCAAAUCGAUUAAGCAAUUUUUCGAUUGUGGUCACAUAUUUAUUAACAAUAGAUAUGAUAACCAUAAAGAGCCAAUUUAUCGCUUCUGUGUCAGAAAAAGAAAUGAUUUACUCAAUGUAAUAUUACCAUUUUUCAAAAAACAUCCUUUGCAAACCGCCAAACAACAAGAUUUUGAAAAUUUUUCUAAAGUGUUAUUAAUGAUGAAGAAUCAUGAGCACUUAACUCGAUUAGGAUUGAUAUCAAUUAUCAGCCUAAUGGGCAAAAAGAUUAAAUUAACAAAAAACCAAUGAAAUUUGAUCCCUCAGAGACUACAUGCCGAGCCCCCGCCAAUGGCGGGGUGAAGAUAUAGUCCGAACCUAGUGGCGACAUUAGGAGGGUGAAAAUGUGUUCACCCUAGUUAAUCAAAUUAACUGUAACAAGCAUUUUGAAUAUAUAAAAAAAUUUAUAUAUCAAUAUAUUUGAGCGAAGUUCCUCGACAGGGGACCUUAAUAAGACAUGUUCUAUUUAAGGAAAACCUGGCUAUAUGCUGGAAUAUCUGAGAAUCCGUUAGUACUCAUUAGUGAGUAAAAAUCUACACGGUGCAGACAAUCAGCAGGAAACCAAAGAUUUGAAUCAAGUUUUAGGGAUCCUCAACGACUACACGCCAGGCCCCGCUAAGCGGGGAUGAUAUAGUCUGAGCUGCAUGGCGACAUGCAGAUCUUGUUAGAAAUAACAAGGCACCUAACAUCAGAAGAAAUGAAGUUAGGUAAGUAACCGAAAGGUGAAAGUAACACACUGUGUCGCUUAAUUGGCGACCCGCACGAAAGGUGCAACCAGUCCCACACUGUCUUGAACUAUUACUCGGUGAAAUUGAGAUGGCCGUGAAGACGCGGCCUACUGACGGCAGGACAAAAAGACCCCAUAGAGCUUUACUGCAACUUGGCACUGAUGGUUUAGUUGGAAUUGUUUAGAAUAGGUGGGAGAUGGCCUCAUUUAUGCGGUCAUCACCAGUGAAAUACCACUCGUUUUAUCUAGAUUAUCUCACCCGACCUGUCUGCAAACGGCAGGGGGGACACUGUCUGGUGGGUAGUUUAACUGGGGAGGUUGCUUGCUAAAGAGUAACGCAAGCGCGCAAUGGUACUCUUGUCCCGGAUGGAAAUCGGGAUGUAUGUGCAAUGGCAUAAGAGUGCUUAACUGUGAGGCAUACAAGCCGAGCAGAUGCGAAAGCAGGUCAUAGUGAUCCACGUGCGUUUUGUGGAAGACGCCGUGCUUAUCGGAUAAAAGCUACCUUGGGGAUAACAGAGUCAUCGCGCCUAAGCGUCCCUAGCGUCGGCGCGGAUUGCUACCUUGAAUACACACAUUGGGGUCUCUCGAUAGUAAUAUCGAGAUGCUGUUCUAGUACAAAUAACUCAA